rnacentral:rRNA from 1 species
GUUGAACGCUGGCGGCAGGCCUAACACAUGCAAGUCGAACGGUAGCACAGAGAGCUUGCUCCUGGGUGACGAGUGGCGGACAGGUGAGUAACGUCUGGGAAACUGCCCGAUGGAGGGGGAUAACUACUGGAAACGGUAGCUAAUACCGCAUAACGUCGCAAGACCAAAGAGGGGGACCUUCGGGGCUCUCACUAUCGGAUGAACCCAGAUGGGAUUAGCUAGGAGGCGGGGUAACGGCCCACCCAGGCCACGAUCCCUAGCUGGUCUGAGAGGAUGACCAGCCACACUGGAACUGAGACACGGUCCAGACUCCUACGGGAGGCAGCAGUGGGGAAUAUUGCACAAUGGGCGCAAGCCUUAAGCAGCCAUGCCGCGUGUAUGAAGAAGGCCUUCGGGUUGUAAAGUACUUUCAGCGGGGAGGAAGGCGAUGUGGUUAAUAACCGCGUCGAUUGACGUUACCCGCAGAAGAAGCACCGGCUAACUACGUGCCAGCAGCCGCAGUAA